rnacentral:rRNA from 1 species
GGGCCCGCACAAGCGGUGGAGCAUGUGGUUUAAUUCGACGCAACGCGAAGAACCUUACCCAGGCUUGAACUGCAGAUGACAUCCUACGAAAGUAGGCUUCCGCAAGGACGUCUGUAGAGGUGCUGCAUGGCUGUCGUCAGCUCGUGUCGUGAGAUGUUGGGUUAAGUCCCGCAACGAGCGCAACCCUUGUCUUCUGUUGCCAUCGGGUCAAGCCGGGCACUCUGAAGAGACUGCCGGUGACAAACCGGAGGAAGGUGGGGAUGACGUCAAGUCAGCAUGGCCUUUAUGUCUGGGGCCACACACGUGCUACAAUGGCCGGUACAAACCGUCGCGAGCCCGCAAGGGGGAGCUAAUCGGAGAAAGCCGGUCUCAGUUCGGAUUGUAGGCUGCAACUCGCCUGCAUGAAGUUGGAAUCGCUAGUAAUCGCGGAUCAGCACGCCGCGGUGAAUACGUUCCCGGGCCUU